rnacentral:lncRNA from 1 species
CGAAGCCACACAAAUGCUCUCCCUUCUCCUCCAAAACCGAACAGCCCCUUCCCCGGAUUGAUUUUUUUUUUUGCGCCCGAGACCCCCAUCUCACUUUCCCUCCCACACGGUUUCAAUCUCCAUUUUCGCCAAAACACAAACCAGGCCACACCCAUCCGCAGCCUCCCUCUCUCGGUUCUCCCAGAAACAGAGGUCGUUUGUUGCCUCCAUAGUCCCAGCCAUUUCCAGCCACACCCAGCUCACUGUCUCCAGCAGUCUUCGUCAUCUCCUUCGGCGCCGUCUCCAGCUCCUCCACCAAACGCAGCGGCGGCCCCGCCGUCUUCUUCAUCUCCUUCCAACCGCCUAGCAGUUCCUUUCUCCUCCGAUCUCCAUGCCCGGCCACAAACCCACCAACUGCCCGAUCUAGCACCGGAGGAGGAGAGAAAAUAAAAAUGAGCAGACCCGAAACGGGCAGAAGAAAAAAAUUAAAAACAGAUCUAAAAAAUUGAAAUCAUCCCGCUUGGUUUGCGUUUUUGUUGUGUGUUUUCAGGUGGUUUUGUUUCCCACCG